GUACUUAUUUUUGUUUUUUGUUUUUCAUUUUUUGUUUUGUUUUCGUUUUACUACUCCUUUCUUCAAUUUAAUACCAUUUGGCGGUUGCUUAAAAUUUGUUUUUACGUUUUUGUUGGAGAAAUCGUAAAUGUAGCUUUCGUUUGUCAACGGCGUUUUAUGGUGGCGUUGACCAUUUUACGAAUGCCAGUUUGUCACACGCACAGUUGGUCCGGUUUAUGAACUUUAACAAAGUGGCACUUGCGGUCAAAUCAUUUACAAAUGCUUGAUUAAACUUUGCUCUGAGUUAUGGAUAACUUCCGAAACGCAAGAUUUUUGGAUAAGACAUUUCCGAAGUUCGCUCUUAACGAAUACUCAGUGCCACUGAACAAUGGGUUUCCGCGGGACCUAUGCUAAGAAAGUAAAAUAGUAGGGAAGAACAAAGGACCUCAACAAAUUCCUCCCAGUCAGAUCAGAAUUCGAAAUGGUGUUUGACCCGCAGAUCUUCAGGAUUUUGCGAAGGCAUCGACUAAUGAAAAACUGCCAGUGCGUAUAUAUCGGUAUAUAUCGUCCGUUGAUUUGACAUUAGAAUUAAAGAUUCCCAGCUGCUGUAAGUUUGCCUCUGUGUCUUUUAUUGGCUAUGAAGAAGCA